UGUGCUUUUAAAUUUAGAAAUUUUGGUAAUUAAGUGGUACAUAAAUAGCAGAAAUAAAUAUGCAGAAAUCGUACUUCAAUGCUGACUUUCCCAGAUUGGAUCGGAGAUAGGAAAAUCCCCGUGUUUGAAUGCUCUGUGUAAAACAAUUUCCUGUACGUAGAAAGGUAGCGUGACAGGAGGAGGAAGAGUCUUAGCCUAGUCUUCUCCCCAAGCAGGAGGGGCUUUCUUUGGCUGCAGAAACAUCCAGACAUCUGACACGUAACCUUUGCUGUUAGGGAUGGUACAAUUCAAGAAGGGGUGACCUGCGACUCCAGUCUGCUUGAAACUCCCUUUUGAAGGAACUCGGAAGGGAUGGUGUAUAACUCCUGCCUGCAAUAGAUCAGGUCGGAGUUCAUCUUUGCUCCUCUUCUUCUUUUUUAAAACUGCUGGCAAUUCCCUUUGGUGUUUUAGUGUAUUUUGGUUUGUUGAUCUCUCUCGCUCACACAGCAUUCUUGGGAACUCUGGUUUGACUCUCGUGCAUUCCACUUAACAGGUGCCUUCAGCAAAAAACAUAAAUCACUGCUCUUUUUUACCAGGAAUAUUUCCAGUUCUGUGGCCAUGCCGAAGAACCUAAGAAGAGCUUGCUGGAUCAGGCCAAUGGCCCAUCUAGUCCAGCAUCCUGUUCUCCCAGUGACCUACCAGACGCCUGUGUGAAACCAGGGAGCAGCACAGGAGCACAAGAGUGCUCUGCUCACCUGCGAUUCUCAGCAAUUGGUAUUCAGAGGAAUCAUAAUAGAAUCAUAGAAUUUCAGAAUUGGAAGGGAUGACAAGGGUCAUCUAGUCCCACCCCCUGAAAUGUCUUCUCUUUGGCGAUCACAUGUAGCCGAGUAAGAUCUUCCAUAAACACGGUUUUAACAAUGAGUCCGUAGGUGACUGUGGAGGCCAAUUCUGGAUCCACACAUCCUUCCACAGUGGGGACAUUGGUUUCCGGGCGGGAGUUCAUCACGGUGUGGAUUUGCCAAGCAUGCUUUCCUCUUAGCACGUUUCUCCCUUGCGUCCUGAGUUCGAGUGUCUUCAAAGUCCAUGACACCUUUGGUAAAGGCUGUUCUCCAGCUGGAGCGCUCGCAGGCCAGUGCUUCCCAGUUGUCGGUGUUUAUACUACAUUUUUAUAAAUUUGCCUUGAGACCAUCUUUAAACCUCUUUUGUUGACCACCUACUCACCUGAAAUGUAGUGGAGGUAGAACAUAGCCAUUGUGGCUAGUAACCAUUGAAUGCAUAUGAUAAUAUAUAAAGUAUUUUGUGUGUGGAUGUUCGUUUAUGAACUGGUCGCCUUUUCCCCUUUCCAUACAAAUCAUGUUUCUCUUUUCACCUGGACAUUGGGCUUUCCAGAGAUGAUAGUGAGGACCUCCUUAUCAUGCCUUUUUAGAUAAUGUAAAUUCCCCAUCAAGCCCUCCCAGGUUGUACCACUUCCCCCAUCAAAUCAAUCCUGGGAGAUGAAUCACUGAUAGUCACACUGUCUUCCUGGACUGCUAAGUUUACAACAGCCUAGAUCUGACACUUAUGCAUUUCCUGGUUAGACGUGGAGUCGCUCCCAGCCAUGUGGAUCCACCCACUGGCUGCUUGACCUUUCCCACCCACCCCUCCUUUCUGAAAACUAACAUUGGCAGAGUGAUCACAUCUCAUUCCCUUUGUCACAUGCCUGGGUGCCCAGAACAAAAACUUUUUUGUGACAAUCGCCUUCUUGAGUGUUCAUCCUCCAUGGCCCAGUAUGGAGCUGCAAAUCAUACAGACAAUGUAUGUGUUUUCUCUAGGCUUGUUCACACGUUACAGUGAACACAGGUCCAAGCUGUUUCCUCUACAAGUGCUUGUGUGAAAGAGUGUAAACUUUUUAAUUUGUACAGCUGGGCCAUUGUGUACACAGGCUGUACGCUCACUGAAUACUGCAUGUGAAUAACUGUAUGAAUGUGCAACUGAGCUGCUUGUAUAAGGAUUGUAUAAAGAUUGCACAUUUGUUGAAUGUAAUGUGUGAAUGCACAACCCAUUCUUUGUGACUCCUUUCUAAAUGCUUACAUGUUAUUUGGCUUCGAAGUCUGCAUUCUGAGCUUAAAAAACACUCCCCUCCAGUCUUCUGCGGUGUUGCAGCUUGCAGGUUAAGAUAAAGGUAAAAGGUAAAGGACCCCUGGAUGGUUAAGUCCAGUCAAAGGCAACUAUGGGGUUUCGGCGCUCAUCUCGCUUCAGGACUAGGGAGCUGGAGUUUGCCCACAGACAGCUUUCCGGGUCAUGUGGCCAGCAUGACUAAACCGCUUCUGUCACAACGGAACAACAUGACGGAAACCAGAGCGCACGGAAACGCCAUUUACCUUCCCGCUGCAGCAGUACCUAUUUAUCUACUUGCACUGGUGUGCUUUCGAACUGCUAGGUUGGCAGGAGCUGGGACAGAGCAACAGGAGCUCACCCUGUCGCGGGGAUUUGAACCACCAACCUUCUGAUCAGCAAGCCCAAGAGGCUCAGUGGUUUAGACCACAGCACCACCUGCGCCCCUUUCAGGCUAAGAUAAACUUUGCUCGACUUGAACUGUUUUAUGGCUCACUUCUAAGGGCUUGGAAGACCCUUGCUCGUGGGUAGGCAAACUAAGGCCCAGGGAACGGAUCCGGCCCAAUUGCCUUCUAUAUCCGGCCCGCGGACGGUCUGGGAAUCAGCGUGUUUUUACAUGAGUAGAAUGUGUGCUUUUAUUUAAAAUGCAUCUCUGGGUUAUUUGUGAGGCCUAGGAAUUUGUUCAUUCCCCCCCCUUCAAAAUACAGUCCGCUCCCCCCCACAAGGUCUGAGGGACAGUGGGCCGGCCCCCUGCUGAAAAAGAUUGCUGACCCCUGCCCUUGCUCCUUCGACAGCAAACUAAGCAUGGAUUAGAAUUUAUGGAGUGGCAUUAUAAAACAUGUAAGUCCUACUGUUUGGCCUUUAAAGCGUAUUAAUAUGAUAUACUUGUUCUUGGUCCAUGUUUAGGAAAAUGAUCUGAAUAAAUGGCUUUGCUUGGGUUUAAUUCCAUCAUAGGUCAAGAACUCAGGACUGAGAGUGGGAAUAUGGCCAUGGCAAAACCUAAAUCUCUCAAUUUAGGCUCAAUUUUCAAAAGCUGACAAAACGUGUUCUUAUAAGUACUGUAUGCUUAUAUAGCUUGCAGAGUUGUUCCAACAUUUGCCUUUGUUUCACUUUUCUUCUUUGUUGAUUUGACCUUUUUUGGCCCUUAACUUAUGUGACAGUUUAAUGGUAAUCCAGAUAAACCUUGAGACAUAAAUCCACGUCUUUGUGGUAUUCUGUAGGAAAUGUUUAGAUAAGGAAGUGGAAGAGUGCAAAGUGUCCUGGAAAGGAUCUUCCACAAGGUCGAAAUUGUGGCUCACUGUCAGCUGCCUCUGGUUGACCCUGCUGUGUUUUAAUGGUGCAAUGUUGAGUUGAGAAUUACUUAGAUUGUGUCUCUCUCUCUGUGUGUUGGUGAUAUGAUUAGUCGAGGUCCACAAAUGUGCUUGCUGUUGGCGAGGGGAUCUUUUUAAAUGGGUGUGUAGAGCACCAGGGAGAAUUGCUGUACAGUGGAUGCUCGGGCUGCGAACGUGAUCCAUGUGGGAUGCAUGUUCGCAACCCGCAGCGUUCGCAACCCGCAGAGGCGCAUCUGCGCACACACAGGUUGUGAUUGGGUGCUUCUGUGCAUGCGCAAAGCGCGAUUAAGCACUUCUGCACAUGCGCGACCGCCGAAACCCGGAAGUAACCUGUUCCGGUACUUCUGAGUUUUGGUGGUCCGGAAUCCAAAAAAAAAACGCAACCUGAAGCGUCUGUAACCCAAGGUAUGACUGUACUUCUCACAAACCUAGAGAAGAGGCCAAAGUGUGGUGAAUCUUGGAGAUACUUGGAAAGGAGCAAGAUGGCUUGUUGGCCUUCCGAGUGUUUUUGAGAUUCAUCACAGCACAUAUCCUCUUUCUUUCCUCCCACUCUUUCCUAGCUCGGAGUGAGGGAAGAGGAAAGAACGUCAAACAAGGGCCCGCCCUCUAGGUGUGGGUUUGUGCGUCAAGUCAGUCAUACAUUUGUGCUGGCUGCCAGGGCCUCCUGGCUUAGUUUGGAAUUUGGACUCCACAGACUGCCCUGUUUUCUGACAGAGUUGGAAAAUAAUUCUUGACUCCGGCUACAAAUUUCAGACAUUGGAAGGUGGUCUCCCAGUCAACUUCAUUGCUGAAUGAAGCUUGUAAGCCAGGAUUACUUGACCAAAGGCCAUUGCUUUUAUGCAUCACACCACAACUAGAUAGUCUUUUACCUGUCAAGUGACACAUUUCCUUGGGGAUAAUCGGCCAGAGACAGUUUACCACUGGUGGGCAGCAGACGGUGGGAUGAAAGUCGAAAGUAUGCAGGGUCACCUCCUAUCCCCCUCUGCAUUUCUGUCACCCCCGCUUUCCUUUCCCCUCAAUCUUCUUCCUUCUACCACCCCUUUUGCUUCUCCCACCUCCCUCCCCACCCAGAAUUCUGCAGGGGGAAGGAAAGGUGGCUCUUCCCAAAAAUAUGAAUGGAGAGGGAAUUCCCUGAAGUGUUUCACCCAGUCAUAACAACAACAACAACAACAACAACAAUAUUUUUUUCUUUAUACCCCUAGUCACUCUGGGCGGCUCCCAACACAAUAUUAAAAACACGAUAAAACAUCAAACAUUAAAAAUUUCCCUAAACAGGGCUGCCUUCAGAUGUCUUCUAAAAGUCAGAUAGUUGUUUAUUUCCUUUACAUCUGAUGGGAGGGCGUUCCACAGGGAGGGGGCUACUGCUGCAAAGGACCUCUACCUGAUUCCCUGUAACCUCACUUCUCGCAGUGAGGGAACCGCCAGAAGGCCCUUUGAGAUGGACCUCAUGGGGCUGAACGAUGGGGGUGGAGACGCUCCUUCAGGUAUACUGAGCUGAGGCCAUUUAGGGCUUUAAAGGUCAGCACCAACACUUUGAAUUGUGCUCAGAAACAUACUGGGAGCCAAUGGAGGUCUUUCAGGACUGGUGUUAUGUGGUCUCGGCAGCCACUCCCAGUCACUGGUCUAGCUGCCGCAUUCUGGAUUAGUUGUAGUUUCCGGGUCAUCUUCAAAGGUAGCCCCACGUAGAGCGCAUUGCAGUAGUCCAAGUGGGACAUAACUAGAGCAUGCACCACUCUGGCGAGACAGUCUGCGGGCAGGUAGGGUCUCCACCUUCAUACCAAAUGGAGCUGAUAGACAGCUGCCUUGGACACAGAAUUAACCUGCGCCUCCAUAAUCACUGUACGGCCAAAGUAAUUGUUUCAUUGCCUUAAGUUUACAGAGCUACUAACCUUUUCUCAUUUUAUAUUUUGGUUUCAUUGAGACAUAGCAUGCAAAGGGCUUUUGAAAUUAGACUGAGGACUGGAUGGAUUGCUCCACUUUUCUGUCUAGGCUUUGAGUGGUGUUGUUGGGUGCCUGCCGUCUGCCCAGCCCCGACUGGCGACUCUCAAGAAAUAUCACUGGGGAAAUAUCCCUGUAUUUUGCACCACAAGCCUCCUGCUGUCAGGAUGAGCCUUCUUCCGUACUGCUGAAGUCUCGCCUCGCCGCCUUCAUAUCUUCUGAACCUGCCAGUUUUGUCCCUCUCCCCUGCGCUGUUUUGAAACCCCCCUGAUGGUUUUCUGAGGGGGGAGUCCUGGGCAGUCACUCAGAUCGGAUGGCUGGUGCUCGAGGGAGAUAUUCCAGGGCCCUGGAGAUGACUCAAGGCAAGAAGCCCUUUUCAUUUCUGUCACCUGACUUCUUAACGCAAAGGCUCAUCUUUUGGGGAAUUUCCCACAGGCAGCCUUCUUGUACAGACUGCACAGCAUGGCAAGCAGGAACGCCUCACUCCCCAAUGCCUCUCCUUUUGUCUAAAGCCUGAUUUAAAUCGCAUUUUACCAGUACUGCACACCCACAAUACUUCUAUAAAUCUUGCAGCCAUUGUACACAGUUGUUUACACAGGUGUUUUGUCAAGGUUUUUUGCUACUGGCAGUCCACUAGGUCAGGAGUGCAGAGAGGGUUCAUUUCUUCGAAUGGUCCCGGAGCUUUUCUGAGUUGUGGAAGAGACCUAGGCCCCACCUGCACUAUGCAUUUAAAACAGUAUCAUGCCAUUUUAGACAGUCACACCUCCUCCCAAAGAAUCCUGGGGGUUGUAGUUGGUUAAGGGCGCAGGGAGUUGUUAAAAUGCCCUCUAUUCCCCACAGAAAGCUGCAAUUUCCACAGCGGUUUAACCAUCCAUCACUCUUCCUAGGGAUUUCUGGGAAUUGUAGCUCUGUGAGGAGAAUUGGGGUCUCCUAACCACUCUCAGCUCCCUUAAGAAACUACUGUUUGCCAGAUCCUUUGGGGGAAGCACUGAAGGAGGUAGAGGAGUGUGGGGGGAGCGCCCUGCCCCUGACAGUGCUAUCCUGGCAGGGUACCAUCAUGGCUGCCCCCCCGCGCUCGGUGCCCUGCCCCCAGGACGCAUGCCAGGCCCGCCCCCACCUGCUCUCCGCCCCCCAGUGCCGGAGCAUGAAGCUCCGCCACUGGGGGGAAGCCAUGCAUUUUUGAGGUGGUGUGAUACUGCU